CAGUCGCCGCGGGAAUACGUAGGGUGCAAGCGUUAAUCGGAAUUACUGGGCGUAAAGCGUGCGCAGGCGGUUUGUUAAGACAGAUGUGAAAUCCCCGGGCUUAACCUGGGAACUGCAUUUGUGACUGGCCGGCUAGAGUAUGGCAGAGGGAGGUGGAAUUCCACGUGUAGCAGUGAAAUGCGUAGAUAUGUGGAGGAACACCGAUGGCGAAGGCAGCCUCCUGGGCCAAUACUGACGCUCAUGCACGAAAGCGUGGGGAGCAAACAGGAUUAGAUACCCGCGUAGUCCCUGUCUCUUAUAA
rnacentral:rRNA from 1 species